rnacentral:rRNA from 1 species
UGAUCAGUGGCGAACGGGUGAGUAACACGUGAGUAACCUGCCCCUGACUCUGGGAUAACUUCGGGAAAUCGGAGCUAAUACCGGAUAUGAGACGUCCUCGCAUGGGGAGCGUCUGGAAAGAUUUAUCGGUCUGGGAUGGACUCGCGGCCUAUCAGCUUGUUGGUGAGGUAAUGGCUCACCAAGGCGACGACGGGUAGCCGGCCUGAGAGGGCGACCGGCCACACUGGGACUGAGAUACGGCCCAGACUCCUACGGGAGGCAGCAGUGGGGAAUAUUGCACAAUGGGCGAAAGCCUGAUGCAGCGACGCCGCGUGAGGGAUGAAGGCCUUCGGGUUGUAAACCUCUUUCAGCAGGGAAGAAGCGAAAGUGACGGUACCUGCAGAAGAAGCGCCGGCUAACUACGUGCCAGCAGCCGCGGUAAUACGUAGGGCGCAAGCGUUGUCCGGAAUUAUUGGGCGUAAAGAGCUCGUAGGCGGUUUGUCGCGUCUGCUGUGAAAACUCGAGGCUCAACCUCGGGCUUGCAGUGGGUACGGGCAGACUAGAGUGCGGUAGGGGAGACUGGAAUUCCUGGUGUAGCGGUGGAAUGCGCAGAUAUCAGGAGGAACACCGAUGGCGAAGGCAGGUCUCUGGGCCGCAACUGACGCUGAGGAGCGAAAGCAUGGGGAGCGAACAGGAUUAGAUACCCUGGUAGUCCAUGCCGUAAACGUUGGGCACUAGGUGUGGGGCUCAUUCCACGAGUUCCGUGCCGCAGCUAACGCAUUAAGUGCCCCGCCUGGGGAGUACGGCCGCAAGGCUAAAACUCAAAGA